UCCCUCGUGGCGCAAUUGGCUAGCGCGUUCGACUGUUAAGCAUCGAAAGAUGCAAGAGAGAUCGAGAGGUUGGUGGUUCGAGCCCACCCGAGGGAG
rfam:Phialocephala scopiformis strain CBS 120377 unplaced genomic scaffold LY89scaffold_17, whole genome shotgun sequence.